UGGGAUUGAUGUACUAAACAUAUUGAGUUUGGAUUAUUGCUAGGACGUGUUAAAGUAAAGUUAGAGUAUUGUGGUGGCGUGCCGGAGUAAAUAACAAGCGAUCGGCCAAUGGAAAUAGUUAGAGACACCUUCGAACAAAUAAUGACCUAAUACCUCGUUGUUGCCAGGUGAGUGAAGUUGCAUUAAAAUGUUUUGGAAUAAAUGAUUUUAUGCUUGGUUGAGCCCCUCGAAAUAUUUUGUUGGUUUUUCUUUAAAAGUUGCAUGGGAACAAGCCCUUGAUGAAAUUUUUUGAUAUUAUGAGAUAUGAACAUGAUGAAUUCAUGAGUUUCUACAAUAUGUUGAUGUGUAUAUUAUACAUUAAAUGAUAUUUUUUGUAUGAUAAUUAUGACCCAGCCAUGAGCGGUGUAGGAGUGCACAUGAGCUGUGCUGACCCAGCCAUGUACGGUGUAAGAGUGCACAUGAGCUGUGCUGACCCGGCUAUGUGUGGUGUAUGAGUGCACAUGAGCUGAGACAAAGUUGAGGGGGUGAGGCCGGUGGUUAUAUAUAUGUUUAUAUAUGAUAUAUAUAUAUAUAUAUAUAUAUAUAUACAUAUAUAUAGAGGUUUGGAAAUUAUAUAUUGUGGUUGUAUUGAUUUUUGAAUGUUAAAACUUGAGAAACGGUUUCCACUUGAUUUUCACCGCAGCAAAGACAGAUUUCCGUUGUGACAAGAAAUUGAGUUAAAUUGCAUUGUCUUCAACAUAAAUGCAUCAUGAUUUCUAAAACUUCCCAUAUUGAUGCUUGUUCCCUUCCUAUGUUCACUCACUGAGUUUGUACUCACGUUUUUAACUUCAUGUUUUCAGAUUCAGUUGUGGUUGAUACGUAGAUUGAGGUGUCCUUGUACCCCAUCCCUUGGGUAGGUAUCUUGACACUCAGUAGUCAUAUCUCCCCAGCCAGAGUCACUCUGCUAACGGUUAAAGUCUUUGUAUUUGCUUCAUGUGAAUCGCAAAGAUAUAUUGACAAACUAUUUAUGUAUGAUUUGAAUUAUGAUGCUAAUGUGAGCAUUCACUUGGGUUUUAUGAGUUACGUUGAAGAAAUCGACAUUUAAACACUAUUAAGC
rnacentral:lncRNA from 1 species